CUAAACUCAUCAACUUUUGAUCUUGACCCUUUAAACUCAAAUAAAAAACUGUAACCCUAAAAUGAGGAAGUUUUGAAAUUUGAACGGUUUUCUAAUUUAAUCUCUCCCACGUUGUCUUCUCCCCACGUUCCUGUAACUUCCAUUACACUUCCGAUUAAAGCAGACCUGAUGUAUCUCAAACCUAGAUUUUUGCCCCAUUCCCCUCCAUCGCUCUCUAUCCAAUUGCUAUACGAGGGUUUCUUCCAAUUCUCCCAUGAAAUUCAACCAACAUGCUCCAUCAAACAACCACACCAAUCUAGUAUGUACAUACACACACAAUCGUAACCAGAUGGAUGCAUAUCAACCCUAAUUUCUUCAGAUGAGGACGCAGCCGACCACCCUCCGGAUUGAAGCCCUAAAAUCAUUGAUGUUUAACCCCGUCGCUAGAAAUCAUCGCCAUGGCAAGUCUCCUUUUGUUUAGAUUCGAAGUUCUCUAUACAGUUUUGCAGGUGCCAUAUUUGGUCUAUGAUUUUGAAGAUUCAGUUUUGUUUGUGGUUUAUGAUUUUGCAUGUUCAGAAGAAGCUUUAGCGCGUUUUUUUUUUAUCAAGCUCACGGUUACCACAAAACUUCAUCUAGCGACCAACACAUGUUCGAUGUUAGCGUCAAAAUUGCCAUUCACGGGUACACCGCUGCUGGUGGCGCGAGUUCUGGUUGGUAGGUUGUCAACAAAAGUGGAGCAUAUUGAGGAAUGAUUGUUCAACCAUCAGAGGUUCAUGCUUUGUAGUGUUCAAAGAAGGGUUAAUUGAUCAGUCAUCACGGGUUCUUUUUUUGUGGUUCAUGCUUACAUAUCAAAUGGAAGCAAUUCUGGGUUUUAGUUCCGCUUGCGAAGUAACACUACGUUUCUGGCUGUUCAAUAAAAGGCAUUGCUCAAGAACUAUUUCUGCUCUCAAUCUUCUGGUAAACUGUAUCUUCCAUAAUUACAUAAAGAUUUGUCAGGUUUGUUUGAACUUUGAACUUUUAUAUCAUACAAUGAUACAAUUUUCUUUCUUAUGCAGGGACGUAUCAUACAAUAAUCUCAGUGGUCCUAUGCCAAAACUAUCGGCCAGAACGUUUAGAAUCAUCGUCAACCCUUUACUUUGCGGGCAGAAUUCUGUGAAUAAUUGUUCAUAUAUUUAUCCCGAACCUCUGGUUUUACAGACCAAUCCUCAUCAAAUGGAAAAAGACAUCAUUUGAGUGUUGCUCACGGGUCAAGCUUCAGUGCUUUGUUCCUAAUAAUCAUAGUCAUCACAUUUCUUAUAUGGUAGCGGUAUAGGAAAAACCAACAAAUAUUCUUUGAUGUUAAAGAGCAAUAUGAUCCGGAGGUAUGUUUGGGCCACUUGAAGAGGUAUACUUUCAAGGGACUUCGGGCUGCAACCGACCAUUUUAAUGCAAA